rnacentral:rRNA from 1 species
CCUACGGGCGGCAGCAGUGAGGAAUAUUGGUCAAUGGACGAGAGUCUGAACCAGCCAAGUAGCGUGAAGGAUGACUGCCCUCUGGGUUGUAAGCUUCUUUUAUAAAGGAAUAAAACGAGGCACGUGUGCCUUAUUGCCUGUCCUUCAUGAAUACGGCUCGGCGAACUCUGUGCCAGCAGCCGCGGUAAUCCGGAGGAUCCGAGCGUUAUCCGGAUUUAUUGGGGUUAAAGGGACCGUAGAUGGGUUGUUAAGUCAGUUGUGAAAGUUUGCGGCUUAACCGUGAAAUUGCAAUUGAUACUGGCAGUCUUGAGUACAGUAGAGGUAGGCGGAAUUCGUGGUGUAGCGGUGAAAUGCUUAGAUAUCACGAGGAACCCCGAUUGCGAAGGCGGCUUACUAAACUGUGACUGACAUUGAGGCUCGAAAGUGUGGGUAUCAAACAGGAUUAGAUACCCGGGUAGUC